rnacentral:rRNA from 1 species
GACGAACGCUGGCGGCGUGCCUAAUACAUGCAAGUCGAACGCUGAAGGAGGAGCUUGCUUCUCUGGAUGAGUUGCGAACGGGUGAGUAACGCGUAGGUAACCUGCCUGUUAGCGGGGGAUAACUAUUGGAAACGAUAGCUAAUACCGCAUAAGAGUAGAUGUUGCAUGACAUUUGCUUAAAAGGUGCAAUUGCAUCACUACCAGAUGGACCUGCGUUGUAUUAGAUAGUUGGCGAGGUAACGGCUCAGCAAGGCAACGAUACAUAGCCGACCUGAGAGGGUGAUCGGCCGCCCUGGGAGGGUGACACGGCCCAGACGGCUACGGGAGGCAGCAGUAGGGAAACGUGGGCAAGGGACGGAAGUCUGACCGAGCAACGCCGCGGGAGUGAAGAAGGAUGUCGGAUCGUAAAGCUCGGUUGUCAGGGAAGAACGAGCGUGAGAGUGGAAAGUUCACACUGUGACGGUAUCUGACCAGAAAGCGACGGCUAACUACGUG